rnacentral:lncRNA from 1 species
UUUUGGCACCUUAAAUUAUUUUCCAGAAAUUACCUAUUAUUUAUUAUAAAUUAAAAUAGGGAAAAUUGGCUAUUUAAAUCAUAGCCAGAUUUGGCUUUCAAUUUUAGCCUAAUUCGGACCCCUCCCCAGCCCAAUCUCCUAUUAAAUAACACGACCUAGGCCCCAAACACGUCCUACCCGACCCAAACCCAUCAUAUCUUGGCCGUUGAUCUAAAAGAUCAACGACCCUCAUUUGUUCUUUCCUUUUUUAAUUCAUACACCCCCCCAAACCCUAAACCAUUUUCUAAAUCCGCCGCCUUUAAUUCCUCUCAUCUUCUCUCUUCUCUCAACCUAACCCUAGACUCUGUCAAUCGCCUCCCUUCUUUGGUCAUCUCCGACGACUACCUUUCAACCCCAAGCCUCCAAAGAUCACUCCACCGCCUUGCUCAUCAUCUCUAAGGCCUUCAAGGGUCCUGGGCCAUGCCGAUUUCGAUCUAGGGUUUAUGUUUCUGUUACUCAUGGCUUCUCCGGUGUGAUUUUAGGCAAAAUCACACCUUAUAUUUUACGAUUGGUGAAGUUUACAACAAGUUCUUUCGUUUCUAUCUGGGUUCCCUUUGAAACCCUAACUCUCGUUUUAAUCUCUUAGAUCUGUAUUAUUAUUAACGCUUUAAGUUUGUUUCUUCCUAUGAUUUGCAAUAUUCUCGAACUUCUUCUGAAAGUUCCUCAACUUUAAAGCGUUUUUACUUUCUUUAAAAAAUUAGGGUUUUCUCGGAGUUCUUUCUACACUUGUUUUAACCUAUUUUCUUUAUGAUUAAACCUCUUUCCUUGCUUAUUUUCACCGAUCUUAUGUUCUUACUGCUUUUAAUUCGCCUAUGUCAAAAGCCCUAAUUUUUAAGAUUUUCUUUGCUUUGGUUCUGUGUGUUAGCCUAUUUACUUGAUUCUUGUUAAUCUUCCGUGGUUACCAUGCUUCGAAUGUGUUUUACUAAAUCCUUAGCCUACUUAUGUCACUUUUGUAUGACUAUGCUUAUUUUGUUUGUUCAUCUCUUGCUUCUUUCUGUCGAUAUGGAUGACCUUGCCUGUUUGCUACGUCUGUUUGAUCUUCUCUGUUUAUAUAUUGAAAAUACAGAAUCAUGACUCCCUCUUGAUUGAUUCUGAUUUCCUUAAUUGAUGGUUUGAUUGAAAGAUUUUGUUUUAAAGGCUAAAGGCAUUACCUCGUCUGUUAAUCUGACUGAUUUUAUUACCUUAUUUGCUAUGAUGCUUUAUUUCUACUAAGUCGUGUCCUUAAUUAAGGUUUUAUGAAUUUAGUCCUAAUUGACUACUCUAUGUUUACUGAACCUUGACUCCUUCCUUACUUAGUCAUGCACUGAUUUUUCUUCUUGCCUUAUAUGAUACUGAAUCUUUACAUUUGAUUUGAUUCCCUUAACUUAAGAGAGUACUUCCUUGAUUCUCUAAUUGAUUGAUUCUGAGUUCUUCAAUUAUUAUGCUACUAUAAUUCUUACCUUAUUUUACUACUUACUUUCAACUAUAAAUACUCUAAUUCUUUCAUAAACAAAGGGACGAACACUUGGUUUUUCAAAAACUACCUCUCUUACUAAAAAUCUCUGCUCUCCCCUCUCUCUUGUUCUUUCAUUAUGCUUACUUCUCUCUUCACUGAUAUGACCUAGUUUUGAUUUAAAGCCUCAACAACAACAUGCUUCUCUUAUUGUUUCAGUUUCUCUUAUUUCUAGUCUGCUUCUACUUGUGGUUUUAUUGUGAAACUUUUAGUUAAGUUACAUUAUCAACAUGUUAUUAUGUCUCCCCUUCCCUUUAGAUUAAUGUAUUCCCGUAUGUGUAUUUCAAAGCAUGCCUUGUCAAUUACCUUUUACUUCUUGUGUGCUUACCAUCUUAUGAGUUCUCAAAUCCUAUUACCCCCUUUCUAUGUGUUCUCUGGUUUGUGAUUAUGUCAGUAUCAACUAUUUUUGAGCAUGUCCUAACUAGUCCUAAGACCCUUGCUAGGUUAUGUGUUUGCAGUCAAAUAUCUGUGUAUCCCCAAACCCCUUGACCCCUAUGUGACUACUAAAUUCAUUUGAAUUCUGUAGACUAGCUGUGUGUGAUCCUAUCUUAAGGUGUUUGAGCUUUGUUCACUAUUCCAACUUCUUUUCAAACAAUCUUUGUAGCUUUACUAAUUGAUUUCAAAACAGACUUUCAAACCCAGUCUUUAAUAAACCUCUUUCAACUUGUGUCCUGCAGUUUCACUUCACUCUUAGUCAAUAAGUUCUGCCCCCUCUGGCAUACUGAGGCUAGCCUUUCCACACUACACUGGUUCAACUCUUGGUUACUAAGUCUAGGUGUAAGCAUUGCCCGGGGUCCUUGAGACCCUUAGGGAACUUUGAUGCACCUAGACUCUGAUUUAUCCAUGGUGUUGAUACCCAAUUUUUCUCUGUAUAUUUUAAUAUGCAAAAUACUUUCAAAAUAGCAUGUAUAUGCAUAUAUAAGUAUGUCCCAGUGUUUUAUUAUUUUUCCCUUAAUUUUUAAGACUUUUAAAUCAAUUUAUUGCCUUAUUUUAUCAAUAAAAAGCCCAAUAAUUAUCCCCGAAAUUAUCAUUUUUUGGUGAUUCAUUUAUUGGAUUUUCAUAUUUAUACUAAAAU